GCAGCUUCUUAGUAAUUCAG
rnacentral:snRNA from 1 species